AUCCUCCUCCAUCCCGUCACCGCACUCUUCCUUUCUCUCCACCAUCCCGUCGCCGUCCCUACCACUCUUCCAUCGCCCCAAUCAACGACUCAUUCAUCCCCUUCCACAUCCAUACCCCCUGCAGGAGCGAACAAUAACUUGUUGCCCCGCCGUCCUCUCUUGUUCUCCCGAUUGGUGCAGCAGCAGCUACAUAUGCGGUUCAUGGCUACAGCAGUUGCGAAUGCAGAUCGACCGUCUUCGAGGCGUGGACCUGCAUCAGCACCAAAUGUACCUCACUGAUGAUCUGAUCUAGUGCGUCGAGGAGGUGCAUGUUCACUUCCGCCACCGUCGACCGUGCCUCAAGUGGCCCUUCGAGGCUUUCACGGGGCAGCCAUGUCAUCCCGCGGCAGCGCCUCUGUCCUCCACCACAUGUCGAUGACGUUAAGUCUUUGCCCCGCACGUCGAUGAUAGGGCACCUCUUGGGCGAUUCGCAGCGCAGGUCGCCAUCACGGUCAGGUUCCAGUGGAGAACAGUGGUACAACACGACUCACUGAUGUCUCCUUCCCGAACAUGCGUUGGUCCAGAUCCGGUCGCUAAUGGCCAUGUUUUUACCCCUCUCUCUUAAUACAGUGUGAUAUCCAUUAAUCUGAUUCCCCAUGUUCUCAUGUAUGCAUGCAUGGCAGUUUGGCCUGAACUAGACGCGGUGGUGGGAGAACUAGUCCGAUGCACGAAAACUAUCAUGUUGCACCGCUGCUAGCGAAGCUGCCACACUUACUUGCCAAGACGUUCUCGGUCUCCACCAUCUAGUCCGAAAUCUGCUGAUCCAACAUUCUUGGUUGAAUUGGGCAUGUGAGUACUUUUGACUCCCCUGCUCUCUUCUUACUUCUCUGUGGUGAGCGUUCAUAGUGGUGUGGCAUCGUGAUGUGUUUGAUGUGGUGGUGUAUGACCAAGCACUAGCGGAUUCCUAGCAAUAUGUACCUAUCUAAACCAAAGGAAAGUGACCAAACUAGUAAUUGUAUGUCUACACGCCACGAGCAUACUAUUUAUGUACUUAAUCUGUUUUGGAUUGUAUAAAAAAAUGUUUGAUACUUUGGCUCGUUGAACAACAUAAAUUCCCAUUGCAGAAUAUACAUCUAUUUUGGAUUUUUGAUAUAAAUAUUAUUAAAUAUGGUGUUAUGCCCAUGAAAUAAGGUUUUGAUCAUUCACUUUCAUCAUCUCCAAAUCCGCUCUAAAUGACAUAAAAUUCUGAUUAUUUUAACCAUGAAUACAAUACCAAGGAUACUUAUUUUAUGUAACUCUCCCUAUGGUAAAUAUGAUAUGAUACUUUAACAUGGGAAAACAACUUAGCAAUUAACCUAAUUGUAUCCAGUAUUGAUGUUUUCAUAUAUUAAUUAUCAACUCUUGUAUGCUUAAUUUUACUUUACUGCGACCAAUAUUUUUUGUUGAUAAUAAAUAAAUUAGUGAUCGUGUGGAAAAAGAAAUGGUUGAACAACUGAGCGUACACAGUAUGCUCAUUUGACUCAUUUCAGGUUAUGUGUGUGCUUGCAAAUUUUCAGGUUGAGUGUACAUAAUAUCCAUAGUAUGUGAGGUGGCGCCGGCGCAAGGGCGCCGACUUCGCCUUCCUGCUCGAGCAGGCCCGGGUGCAGCCCCCCGAGGAGCGGGGCCUCGACGCGGCCAGCCGGCUCGCUUCCAUGGACUCGCCAUUUGGUUAGUUAUCGAAGCCAGCCUGAACAUGUUUUGUUGUUGUCACUGUUUGUUCAGUGAGUAAGAUUAUUAAGUUCGUCGCUUUAACCAUGCUUAGGUCAAUUCGGUGGAUAAAAAGGUCCACGAUGAUCAUUUUCUACAAGAUAAUAUCAUGUCGGUAGUCUUCCCAUCAAAAGUAGCAAUCAUGAUCUAUUUCCAGCACUUAGAUUGAGAUUGAUUAAAUUAUCUUUCCUUGUAGACUAAAACAAUCAUAGUGUCAGCCACAAAUCUCAUAUAUGAAACAUAGCAAUGAAGAAAAUUAACAUUUGAAACGUCUUAUUAGAAUAUAGGAUUACUUGAUAACAUUAAUGGAGUUGAUUUCAAUAAAGAAAUAACUUAAGUAAUAUAUAACAGUGGCACUCUCAACCGUCCACAUGAGAACAAAGACAAAAUUUUCACAUCAGAUCUAUCUGUAUCUUGAAUGGUCUAAACAUACGUAACUAAUAACAGUGUAACGUAGUGGCACUCUCAAUCGUCCAUAUGAGAACAAAAACAAAAGUUUCACAUCACAUCUUUCAGUAUCUUGAAUGAUAUAAAGAGAAAAACUCUAUAUUUCUUGCAAAUUGUUAAUUGCUUAUAGGUUAUGGUAUGAUUAAAACUGUACUAAAACAAUUUGUAGAGAUGUGGAAUUUGUGAAAACAAAAUCAUAACUUGUUAAGCACAGAUCAAAAACUAAUUUCCUUGUUUGAGCAUUUUCAUAGCACCCACGAUAGUCCGCUUUUGCUUGGGGCCAAUUAAAGUUGCUAAAUUUAUUGUCCCAUUCUCAUGGGCAUACUAAUGUGGUCUAUGCUGGUAUCAACUUCAUGGUGUCUUACUUAGGUUUUUUUGCCAUGUGCAUUGCAUAUUUGUCAAAUGAGCAUAUGGUUGUAUCAUCUUCUACAUGUUCUUCUGUUUUCUUGCACCUCUUAUGACUGGUAGUUCCAUUGUCCCUUCAUGACUAUUAACAGUACAUAGUAGUAAUGAGUGCUUUCCUUCAUGACUAUUACCAGUAAA